AAAGUCGUAACAAGGUUUCCGUAGGUGAACCUGCGGAAGGAUCAUUAUUGAAUAAAUUUUGAACAGGCUGUUUGCUGGCCCCCUCCCUGAGGGCGGUAUGUGCACGCUUGUCAUCUUUAUCAUUUCUCCAACUUGUGCACAUAUUGUAGACCUUUGGGUGCUUUUGAACAUUUCGUUGUUUCGAGUCGGGACUGCUGUGCCUUUUUGAUUUCAAAGGGUCGGCUUUUCCUUGCACUCCCCAGGUCUAUGUCAUUUUUUCACAACCUCUCGAAUGUGUUUAGAAUGUCGAAUGAUAUAUAUAAAAGUUUUAUACAACUUUCAGCAACGGAUCUCUUGGCUCUCGCAUCGAUGAAGAACGCAGCGAAAUGCGAUAAGUAAUGUGAAUUGCAGAAUUCAGUGAAUCAUCGAAUCUUUGAACGCAUCUUGCGCUCCUUGGUAUUCCGAGGAGCAUGCCUGUUUGAGUGUCAUUUUAACUUCUCUCAACUGCAUCAGAAUUUUGUUUUGAUGUGGCUUGGAUAUGGGGGGAUAUGCAGGCUUCUAUAUAGAAGUCGGCUCCUCUGAAAUGCAUUAGUGGUAUCCGAGCUGCUAUUAUAGGUGUGAUAAAUUAUCUAUGCCUUUGGUAUGCUGGGUCGCACUGCUUCUAACGAGUGGAAGCCAUGCCAUGGUUUCUUUUGAUGAAUUUGACCUCAAAUCAGGUAGGACUACCCGCUGAACUUAAGCAUAUCAAUAAGCGGAGGAAAAGAAACUAACAAGGAUUCCCCUAGUAACUGCGAGUGAAGCGGGAAAAGCUCAAAUUUGAAAUCUGGCAGCUCUUGAACUGUCCGAGUUGUAAUCUAGAGAAGUGUUACCUGUGCUGGACCGUGUACAAGUCUCCUGGAAUGGAGCGUCGCAGAGGGUGAGAAUCCCGUCUUUGACACGGAUUGCCUGCACGAUAUGGUGCGCUCUCGAAGAGUCGAGUUGUUUGGGAAUGCAGCUCAAAAUGGGUGGUAAAUGCCAUCUAAAGCUAAAUAUUGGCGAGAGACCGAUAGCGAACAAGUACCGUGAGGGAAAGAUGAAAAGAACUUUGGAAAGAGAGUUAAACAGUACGUGAAAUUGCUGAAAGGGAAACGCUUGAAGUCAGUCGCGUCGGCUAGAAAUCAACCUUGCUUUUGCGUGGUGUACUUUCUGGUUGAUGGGUCAGCAUCAAUUUUGACCGUCGGAUAAAGUCUUUGGGAAUGUGGCAUCUUAGGAUGUGUUAUAGCCCAUUGUCGCAUACGGUGGUUGGGAUUGAGGAACUCAGCACGCCUCCCACAAAGGGGCCGGGUUUCGACCACGUUCGUGCUUAGGAUGCUGGCAUAAUGGCUUUAAUCGAC
rnacentral:rRNA from 1 species